rnacentral:rRNA from 1 species
AGAGUUUGAUCCUGGCUCAGGAUGAACGCUAGCUACAGGCUUAACACAUGCAAGUCGAGGGGCAGCAUUCCGCUAGCAAUAGUGGAGAUGGCGACCGGCGCACGGGUGAGUAACGCGUAUCCAACCUGCCUUAUACUCUUGGAUAGCCUUCUGAAAGGGAGAUUAAUACAAGAUGGUAUCAUGAGUGAGCAUUUUCUCAUGAUUAAAGGUUUACCGGUAUAAGAUGGGGAUGCGUUCCAUUAGAUAGUAGGCGGGGUAACGGCCCACCUAGUCUUCGAUGGAUAGGGGUUCUGAGAGGAAGGUCCCCCACAUUGGAACUGAGACACGGUCCAAACUCCUACGGGAGGCAGCAGUGAGGAAUAUUGGUCAAUGGGCGGUAGCCUGAACCAGCCAAGUAGCGUGAAGGAUGAAGGUUCUAUGGAUUGUAAACUUCUUUUAUAAAGGAAUAAAGUGAGGCACGUGUGCCUUUUUGUAUGUACUUUAUGAAUAAGGAUCGGCUAACUCCGUGCCAGCAGCCGCGGUAAUACGGAGGAUCCGAGCGUUAUCCGGAUUUAUUGGGUUUAAAGGGAGCGUAGAUGGGUUGUUAAGUCAGUUGUGAAAGUUUGCGGCUCAACCGUAAAAUUGCAAUUGAUACUGGCGUCCUUGAGUACAGUUGAGGUGGGCGGAAUUCGUGGUGUAGCGGUGAAAUGCUUAGAUAUCACGAAGAACUCCUAUUGCGAAGGCAGCUCACUAAACUGCAACUGACAUUGAGGCUCGAAAGUGUGGGUAUCAAACAGGAUUAGAUACCCUGGUAGUCCACACGGUAAACGAUGAAUACUCGCUGUUUGCGAUAUAC